rnacentral:lncRNA from 1 species
AGCCUCAGAGAAAUCAAGUAAACAUGAUAAUACAUCAUAUCAAAACUCAUCAGUAAUUAACCGAUCAAUCAUCAAAUCUUAGACUAUUAUUACUGAUGUAGUGCGUGUGUGCUCAACAACAAUGCUAACUGAUAUAAAAUCAAAUUUAACACAUAACAAAUCUCUUUGAAGGCAUCAUACAGUGUAAACUCAAGAAAUUCAAAAACAAGUUAGAUCCAACUAAAAUCAAACAAUUACCACUAUCGAGGGUCAACAUGGGAUACUUAUGCUUUAUUUUCAUCUACGGGGGCUUUUUGCUCUUAUUUCCCGUUUCAUUCUUUUUAUAUAUAUAUAUACACAUAGCGAUGCAAUGUCUUAUUCCCUUAGGCUUUUCAAUGCUACCUUAACGAGCUUUCGACCAACGACUCCCAGACCAUUAAGACCUUAGGGCGCUAGGAGUAAAGACAAUCCCAUCGAGCUUACUUACUCAAGUAACAAAGGCCACAAAACUAGACAAGCAUGCCACGGUGUUUAUUCAUACUUUUUUUUUCUUUUUUCUUUUUUUUUCAAUAGCUUAUAUAUCUCACAUAUUCCCCCAAACUUAGGUUCUUGUCUAACUUUAGUUAUCACUACUUAUUCUUGUCAUUCUUUCAUUCAAACUAGCAUUAUCCUUUAGAAUCCCGUUAUGUAUCAAUUUAAACUCAAUCAAUCAACAAGUUGUUUUUACUGUGCUAUCCUUAUUAUACCAGUUUCAAACAGAAAAAGAUUCAACUCAUAACAGGAAAUCACAUCAAAAGUUCUAAUAAUCAGUAUUAUACUUGUCUAUCUAAUCCCAUUCUCA